UAAUACAUCGGAACGUGUCUUCUUGGGGGGAGUAACUGCCCGAAAGGGCAGCUAAUACCGCAUGAGACCUGAGGGUGAAAGCGGGGGGAUCGCAAGACCUCGCGCUGGAAGAGCGGCCGAUGUCCGAUUAGCUAGUUGGUGAGGUAAAGGCUCACCAAGGCGACGAUCGGUAGCUGGUCUGAGAGGACGACCAGCCACACUGGGACUGAGACACGGCCCAG
rnacentral:rRNA from 1 species